CCUACGGGAGGCAGCAGUGGGGGAUAUUGCACAAUGGGGGAAACCCUGAUGCAGCGACGCCGCGUGGGCGAAGAAGUCUUUCGGUAUGUAAAGCUCUAUCAGCAGGGAAGAAGAAAUGACGGUACCUGAGCAAGACGCACCGGCUAAAUACGUUCCAGCAGCCGAGGUCAUACGUAUGGUGCAAGCGUUAACCGGAUUUACUGGGGGUAAAGGGAGCGCAGGCGGGACGGCAAGGCUGAUGGGAAAUCCCGCGGCCCAACCGCCGGACUGCAUUAGAAACUACCGGGCUGGAGUGCCGGAGAGGUAGGCGGAAUUCCUGGUGUAGCGGUGAAAUGCGUAGAUAUUAGGAAGAACACCAGUGGCGAAGGCGGCCUACUGGAGGGUGACUGACGCUGAGGCUCGAAAGCGUGGGGAGCAAACAGGAUUAGAUACCCCAGUAGUC
rnacentral:rRNA from 1 species